rnacentral:rRNA from 1 species
CUAUCUGCUCAUGAAAUUAAAUAGCCGCAGAAUUUUUACUGUGCUAAGGUAGCAUAAUCACUAGUCUCUUAAUUAGAAACUCGAAUGAAAGAUCUAACAUUUUAUUGACUUUUUUAGAUUAAUUUUCAAAACUUAUACUAAGUAUAAAAAUAUACUUAUUCAAAAAACAGACGACAAGACCCUAUCGAACUUAACCGAUGUUUAGCUGGGGCAGCUAAUUAAACACAAUUUUAAUUAAUACUAUAAAAAAAAAUUAACCCAAUACAAUUGAAAUUGAACAAGUUACCGUAGGGAUAACAGCGUAAUUUAUUUUCUAAGCUCUUAUUUAAAAAUAAGAUUACGACCUCGAUGUUGAAUUAUAUCUCCUCUCAGCGCAAUAGCCUUCAAGGAAGGUCUGUUCGACCUUUAAACUUUUACAUGAUCU